rnacentral:rRNA from 1 species
AUUCCAGCUCCAGUAGCGUAUAUUAAAGUUGUUGCAGUUAAAAAGCUCGUAGUCGAACUUCGGGCCUGGCGGGACGGUCUGCCUUACGGUAUGUACUGUCUGGCCGGGUCUUACCUCUUGGUGAGGCCGUAUGCCCUUCAUUGGGUGUGCGGUGGAACCAGGAAUUUUACCUUGAGAAAAUUAGAGUGUUCAAAGCAGGCAAUUGCCCGAAUACAUUAGCAUGGAAUAAUAGAAUAGGACGUGCGGUUCUAUUUUGUUGGUUUCUAGGAUCGCCGUAAUGAUUAAUAGGAACGGUCGGGGGCAUUAGUAUUCCGUUGCUAGAGGUGAAAUUCUUAGAUUUACGGAAGACUAACAACUGCGAAAGCAUUUGCCAAGGACGUUUUCAUCA